UACGAAGGGGGCUAGCGUUGCUCGGAAUUACUGGGCGUAAAGGGCGCGUAGGCGGACAUUUAAGUCAGAGGUGAAAGCCCAGGGCUCAACCUUGGAAUUGCCUUUGAUACUGGAUGUCUUGAGUUCGGGAGAGGUGAGUGGAAUGCCGAGUGUAGAGGUGAAAUUCGUAGAUAUUCGGCGGAACACCAGUGGCGAAGGCGACUCACUGGCCCGAUACUGACGCUGAGGCGCGAAAGCGUGGGGAGCGAACAGG
rnacentral:rRNA from 1 species